UUUACAUCAUCACAUAAAGUUCUGUUGGACAACACUGUCAUAAUGUGCUUAGGAAACUUCAGGAAUUUGAUUUACUGAAAGUGUAGAUUGCAGUGUUGAGAUGGAAGUUGCAGAGGCCAGGAGGAAGGAGAUGCUGCUGCAAGAGAACUCAUUGGGAACCUUUAGGAACUGAGAUUUGCUAAACUACCAGAUGAAUUCAGACCUUCAUUUGUGGUGAAUCUGUAAAGGGUCCUCCUUGGGGGUGCCAGAACUGAUAUGGCCUUCAGUCAUAGAGCGGGAGACACAGAAUCUGAAGCAGG